CAGUCGCCGCGGGAAUACGUAGGGUGCGAGCGUUAAUCGGAAUUACUGGGCGUAAAGCGUGCGCAGGCGGUUUUGUAAGACAGAGGUGAAAUCCCCGGGCUCAACCUGGGAACUGCCUUUGUGACUGCAAGGCUAGAGUACGGCAGAGGGGGAUGGAAUUCCGCGUGUAGCAGUGAAAUGCGUAGAUAUGCGGAGGAACACCGAUGGCGAAGGCAAUCCCCUGGGCCUGUACUGACGCUCAUGCACGAAAGCGUGGGGAGCAAACAGGAUUAGAGACCCCUGUAGUCCCUGUCUCUUAUAC
rnacentral:rRNA from 1 species